AGCCUCUCGUGAAGCCUUGUUUGGCCUC
rnacentral:piRNA from 1 species